GAUGAAUGCUGGCGGCGUGCCUAACUCAUGCAAGUCGAGCGGUAACAGGAGUAGUUUACUACUUGCUGACGAGCGGCGGACGGCUGAGUAACGCGUGGGAACGUGCCCCAAUGUGAGGGAUAACUGCCCGAAAGGGUGGCUAAUACCGCAUAUGGUCUUCGGAUUAAAGGAUUUAUCCGCUUUGGGAGCGGCCCGCGUUAGAUUAGGUAGUUGGUAGGGUAAUGGCCUACCAAGCCUACGAUCUAUAGCUGGUCUGAGAGGAUGACCAGCCAGACUGGAACUGAGACACGGUCCAGACUCCUACGGGAGGCAGCAGUGAGGAAUCUUCCACAAUGGGCGAAAGCCUGAUGGAGCAACGCCGCGUGAAGGAUGAAGGCCCUCGGGUUGUAAACUUCUUUUAUAAGUGAAGAAUAUGACGGUAACUUAUGAAUAAGCACCGGCUAACUACGUGCCAGCCGCCGCGGUAA
rnacentral:rRNA from 1 species